CGCAGCCGCGGUAAUUCCAGCUCCAAUAGCGUAUAUUAAAGUUGUUGCAGUUAAAAAGCUCGUAGUUGAAUUUCGGGGUUAGUAGGUUGGUCAUGCCUCUGGUAUGUACUGGUCUCACUGAUUCCUCCUUCCUGAUGAACCUUAAUGCCAUCAAUUUGGUGUUUUGGGGAAUUUGGACUGUUACUUUGAAAAAAUUGGAGUGUUUAAAGCAAGCUAACGCUUGAAUACAUUAGCAUGGAAUAAUGAAAUAGGACGUUCGAUCCUAUUUUGUUGGUUUCUAGGAUUGACGUAAUGAUUAAUAGGGAUAGUUGGGGGCAUUAGUAUUCAAUUGUCAGAGGUGAAAUUCUUGGAUUUAUUGAAGACUAACUACUGCGAAAGCAUUUGCCAGGAUGUUUUCAUUAAUCAAGACGAAAGUCAGGGGAU
rnacentral:rRNA from 1 species